UCUAAAACUUUAAGGGCAGUAUCCCAGAUUUCCUCCUGCAUUUCAGCACAAGCUGUCUUCUAGUCUAGGGAUGGAGAAUAGUCAUAAACCUGUUUCUGUUUGGAGGCACGUUCUUUCAUAAAUUGCAUAAUCAUGUGAUGAAUAACUGGCAAAAAAGCAAUAUGCUUCUGUCCUGGGUACCCAUUUUACAAACUUAUCUUGGUAACUUAAAGACAAAGAAAAUAAUCCAGGAGGCAUACGGUGUGAGUUAUUUUUAAAAAUAACAUUUUAGAAGAUCUGAAGAGAAAAACAAGAGGUAACAUUGGGGCUCUGUGGUGACUGCCUACCUGCAAUGACUACAGAAGUACAGCUUACAGAGUCUGCUCUGGAAACCUUCAGUCUAGUUUAGAUAUGCACAGAGUUUGGCACCCUAGGUGAUGUAGACUUUCUGCUAUGCAAAAAAAUCACCCCUUUCAAAAGUGCAGAAGAGAAAUAAAGCAAAUAGUGUACAAAAAAAUAAAAAAAAA